rnacentral:lncRNA from 1 species
GUUUGCGGCAAGUAAACAUAUUAACAGAAAUGUGAAUAAGUGACUAUGCUGUUCAUUAUAAUGGCCACUUAGCCACAUGUGGCCAUUUAAGAUUAAAUUUUAAGUUUGAUAUAGCUUGCCUAUUGUGUGAGGUUCUAAGUUCCAUUUCCAGCACCUCAAAAAAAAAAAAAAAAAACCCACAUUACAUUAAAUUUUAAUUAAUAAAAUUUAAAGUUUGUUUCUUGAUUGUGUACUAAGACUUAUUGAUCUUUUGUUUUAAGGCUCAAUAGCUACAUGUUGCUAGAGGCUACUGUGUUAGUGCAGAUAUAAAACAUUUCCAUAAUUGCAGAAAGUUCUAUCAGAUGAUAAAAAAGAUACAAACUAAAACAGAUGUAGCAAUGAAAUAAGGUAGUCAGGGAAAGCCUCAGAAACUCCUUGUUACAGCAGCCUCCCCUGGGGCCUACCUAUUGCCUGACAAGGCUCUGCUUUCCCUCCCUCUGUAUACAGCCACCUCUUAGUUCAGACUAUUUCAUUUUGGGUGGGGAUGUUGCUCAGUGGUAGAGCACACUCAAGGCCCUGGGUUCAAUCCCUAGCACACACAAAAAAAGGUAAAAAAUGAAAAAUAAAAUUUGUUUUUAUUUUUACUAAAGGGAAUACUUGGAGUAAUAAAAGGCAGAGAAGGAAAAAAAUUAAAAAGUGAAAAGAAUCAAGAAAACUGGAUAUAUAUAAAUAUAUCCAUGGCUUUUGUACCAUGGAUUAUUCAGGAAAUAAAGAAAAAGAAUUUAAGAAAGUCAAAGGGAAUGUAAAACUUGUAAACAAACAAAUUUAUGCUCAUACUUGCAGUCUCAGAACUGGGGAGACUGAGGUGGUAGAAUCACUUCACUAGUUUCAGACUAGCCUGGACAACAUAGCAGGGUCCUUUCUCAUAAACAAAUAUAAAUCAACAACAAUUUUCUCCCCUUUCUUCUUUAGUUUUGUGGUCUAAUGCCUCUGAGGCAAUGUUUUUAAUCUGUUGGCUCCUGGUAGGUGCUCUAAUCCCUUAUAAAGCUCCUCUCCCUCAGUCAGGCAGCCAUGCACAGUGUGCCCUUCUCCCCAUCUUCCCAAUAAAAUUGGAUCCCAGUUUUGAGUUAAGGUAAUAUUUGUUACUUCCAUUUUCAUGAGUAUACAUAUAUUCACAACUGAAACGUGGAAUACUGUGUUGUUUUGUACAUUUUGCCCC